CAUGGGAGGAGCUAACUUGGUUGGUGUUGUACAGAGAAGCCAGCUUGUUUACUUGCCCAUCCCAUG
rfam:Ophiophagus hannah scaffold1509.1, whole genome shotgun sequence.